rnacentral:tRNA from 1 species
GCAGGUGUAGUACAACGGCUAGUACGUGGCCUUGCCAAGGCUGAGACGUGGGUUCGA